rnacentral:rRNA from 1 species
ACUCCUACGGGAGGCAGCAGUGGGGAAUAUUGCACAAUGGGCGCAAGCCUGAUCCAGCCAUGCCGCGUGUGUGAAGAAGGCUUUCGGGUUGUAAAGCACUUUCAGCAGUGAGGAAAGGUUAGUAGUUAAUACCUGCUAGCUGUGACGUUACCUGNAGAAUAAGCACCGGCUAACUCC